GCCCUUGUAGCCUAAUGGAUAUGGCGUUUGCUUCCUAAGCAAAAGGUUGUGGGUUCGAGUCCCACCUGGGGUA
rnacentral:tRNA from 1 species